GACCCGCGGGAGCCAACGCCAAAACGGACUCGACAAUUUGGUUUCGCUAUGGUAGGUCGGCAUUCCUAGACGCUUCCGCCGCUCACACUAACUUCUAAGGCCGAAACUGAGAUUAUCGGUUCUCAUGGGUGUUUUUCUAGGUUGAUGGCGCCCUGCCGCCCGAGUGCCUGCGUGACUGACGGAUGGAGGACAGAGGAGUACAUUGACGAAAUAUUAAUUUGGAUUUCUGUACCACACUAUUACUACUGUCGGAAAUUCCUGUAUAUAAUUACCUUUUAAUAGGGAGAAAUUAAGCGCUAUUUGGGCAAUUUGCACUUGGGUUAUUAUACAAGUGCACUGUUAGGAUUCGAAUUCGAGACUGUUGAACCAAUGCAUGAGAGAAUUAACUUUUAUACCAGCGUCUCGAGGCUGUGUAUUGGCUGAGGUGCCGGAUAAGUGACGUCACGUGUUGAAGCCUCGAAGCGUCAUCGUAACUCACGAAGCCAGCUCUUCUACCCAGACCCCGACCCGUCAGCACCUACGGCCGGGUACCGUCUCGCCGUCACCACCACGUUUGGGAUUAUUCUUGCUUUGUACGUAUGUAUACCGCAUAUGUAUACCACAUUGCUAACUGCAUGCCUCCCCCCACUCCCGCGGCCCCGCCACACACGACUUUCUACUCAUGCUCAUCCCUAUACUGUCCAAAUCCCUUACGCACGAGUUAACCAGCAUCUUCACUCUUUCAUCCCUCACGCUGGUAAACUCUGGAACAGUCUUCCUUCAUCUGUAUUUCCUCCUGCCUACGACUUAAACUCUUUCAAGAGGAGGGUAUCCGGACACCUCUCCUCCCGAAAUUGACCUCUCUUUCGGCCACCUCUUUGGAUUCUUUUUAGGAGCAGCGAGUAGCGGGCUUUUUUUAUUACCUUUUUUUUGUGCCCCUGAGCUGUCUCCUUUGUUGUAAAAAAAAAAAAAAAAGCUCAGCGUAGCAUAAGUAGCUGUCUAUGGUUGGCCAAUCCUCUCAUGCAGGGAAACCUCCUCAUUCACCACAGCUAGCCCGCCACAUCUUCCUGCCUCGAUCCACUCACCUACUUCAGCUAAGGGCAUUUAAAUUGAUUUUCCGCGUGUUACUCAGACAACUAAUACAUUUCCGAGUUUCCUGUAAGCGUCGCGGAUCCGUGAUAUAGGAAAUUAGUUCAACCCGUCUGCUGCGAUUGGCACGGAUUUGGCCUUCACUGGUAGCCUGGUAACAUACACUCCCAGGUCUUUCUCUGCCUCUGUGGUGGAUAGUGGAGUGUUUCCCAUGUGGUAUUGGUGUGCUGGAUAUCCCUUCACUGGUAGC